ACCCAAGGAUUUUACCUCCAUAGUAGAUAAGCUAAGAGUUGACAGUUCAGCUGCACCAAGGAAUGAAUUGUAGGCACAAUUUUUGGAUACAGAUUUCCUGCUACAGUCAAAGCCAUUUGACUUGAGUGAUUGCCAUCAUUCUCAGCCCACAGGGAACAGGUUACAUUCAUUUAAGAAAUGGUGUGUGUAUUAAGAUGGUUUAUCCAUGAAGUCAUUCAUCAACAUGAACAAUGUUCCUGCUUGGAGGGUGGCACAGAUGUUAGGUGAGGGUAAGGUUCAUCUCUCUUCUGCUUCUUUGGCUGUGAUGAUUUUGUAAAGGAUUCAUCUCAGAAUAAGAGUAACUUAUAAAGUCCUCUUCUUCAAAAUUGAUACAAUAAUUAUAAAUAUCAAGCAAAGCCUUCAUUGAGUCUUACUCUUUGCUGUUCUCUUACAAACCACCUCCCAAAUUAAUUGUCUACAUUUCUUUUGGCUGUAUAAAUAAUUUUGAAAUAUAUAAGCUGUUCUGAAAACCAUAGUAUAGUGUAAAACAUCAAACAAUCGUACCAAUAGAGAGGCUGAGAUAGGAGCAUGAUUUCAAGACCAUUAUGUGGCACACAGCAAGACCCUGUCAUGUACAAACAUGCAGAAAGUGUAUAUGGAUUGUAUAAUAUUGGACCUAUUUCUCCCAUUACCAAAUUAGAGAGACAAAUUUCUAAUUCCUCAUAUUUUUGAAUUUCAAUUGAUUAGGAUAUGUUGGUAAUAUUAAUUUUCAUAUUAAGAGAUAUUAAGGAAAAAUGGUUGUUACUUCCUGUUAAUUUUCUUGUUAGAAGUGGAAUUAUGUUUCUAUGGGUUUGUUGAAAGAUUAUUUUCUUGCUUCUUCUAGGGUGUAGUUUUCCCCCUUGUGUUGGUGUUUUCCAUCUAUUAUCCUUUGUAGAGCUGGAUUUGUGGAAAGAUAUUGUGUAAAUUUGGUUUUGUCAUGGAAUAUUUUGUUUUCUCCAUCUAUGGUAAUUGAGAGUUUUGUUGGGUAUAGUAGCCUGAGCUGGCAUUUGUGUUCUCUUAGGGUCUGUAUGACAUCUGCCCAGGGUCUUCUGGCUUUCAUAGUCUCUGGUGAGAAGUCUGGUGUAAUUCUGAUAGGUCUGCCUUUAUAUGUUACUUGACCUUUUUCCCUUACUGCUUUUAAUAUUCUUUGUUUAGUGCAUUUGGUGUUUUAAUUAUUAUGUGACCGGAGGAAUUUCUUUUCUGGUCGUGUCUAGAGUUCUGUAGGUUUCUUGUAUGUUCAUGGGCAUCUCUUUUUUUACGUUUGGGACAUUUUCUUCUAUAAUUUUGUUGAAGAUAUUUACUAGCCCUUUAAGUUGGGAAUCUUCACUCUCUUCUGUACCUAUUUUCAUUAGGUUUGGUCUUCUCAUUUUCUCCAGGAUGUUUUGAGUUAGGAGCUUUUUGCAUUUUCUUUCACUGUUGUGUCAGUGUUUUCUAUGGUAUCUUCUGUGCAUGAGAUUCUCUCUUCUAUCUCUUGUAUUCUGUUGGUGAUUCUUGCAUCUAUGACUCCUGACCACUUUCUUAGGUUUUCUGUCUCCCUUUGUGAUUAUUGUUUCUAGUUCCAUUUUUAGAUCCUGGAUGGUUUUGUUCCUUUCCUUCACCUGUUUGUGUUCUCCUGUAACUCUUUAAGGGAUUUUUGUUUUUCCUCUUUAAGGGCUUCUAGCUGUUUACCUGUGUUCUCCUGUAUUUCUUUAAGGGAGUUAUUUAUGUCCUUCUUAAAGUCCUCUAUCAUCAUCAUGAGAAGUGAUUUUAGAUCUGAAUCUUGCUUUUCUGUGUGUUGGGGUUUCCAGGACUUGCUAUGGUGGGAGACUUGGGUUCUGAUGAUGCCAAGUAAUCUUGGUUUCCGUUGCUUAUGUUCUUAUGCUUGCCUCCCACCAUCUGGUUAUCUCUAGUGCUACCUGCCCUGGCUGGCUGACUGAAGCCUGUCCUUCCUGUGAUCCUGGUUGUGUCAGAACUCCUCCAAGUCAAGCUGUCUCUGUGGUCCUGUGAUUGUGGGAUCCUGUGAUCCUGGGUGUGUCCAAGCUCCUGGGAGUCAAGCUGCCGUUGGGACCUUGAGAUCCUGGUGUGACCAAGCUCCUGGGAUCCUGGGAUUCUCUGAUCCUGGUAUGUUAGAGCACCUGGGAGUGGAGCUGCCUCGGUGUUGUGGGGCUGGCUGUGGAGCUAGGUGUCCUUUGCCUUACACAAGCUUUACAGUUUCCAUUUAUUAAUCAUUGGUCUUAGUGCCUGUGCUAUUGCUAUUGUUGAGAAAGUCUUUUCCUUUGCCAAUGAGUUCAAGGCUAGUCCCCACUUCCUCUUCUAUUAGGUACAGACUAUCUGGCUUUAUGUUGAGGUCUCUGAUCCUCUUGAACUUGAAUUUUUGUGCAGGGUGAUAAAUAUGGAUAUUUGCAUUCUUAUACAUGCAGAUAGCAUUUGUUGAAGAUGCUUUCUUCUUUUAUAGUGCGUUUCUGACUUCAUAAAAAAUCAGGUGUCUCUAGGUAUGUGGAUUUAUGUUUGGGUCUUCAUUAGAUUGUGUCAGUUUUAUGCCAACACCAUGCUGUUUUUAUUAUUAUCAUUCUGUAGUACAGUUUGAAAUCAGGGAUGGUGAUACCUGUAGCAGUUCUAUUUUUCAGGAUCUUUCUAGCUAUCCUGGAUUUUUGACUUUCCAUAUGAGGCCAGGAAUUAUCCUUCCAAGGUCUGUGUUGGGUUUUUGGUGGAGAUGGUAUUGAAUAUGUAGACUGCUUUUGGUGGGGUGGACAUUUUUUGGUAGGUUUACUGUUAAUCCUACUGAUCUGUAAGCAUGUUAGAUCUUUCCAUCUUCUGAUAGUAUUUCUAAUUUCUUUCUUCAGUGACUUGAGUUUUCAAUCAUACAAGUCUUUCACUUGCUUGGUGAGUUUCUCAAAAUAUUUUCUAUUAUUUUUGGCUAUUGUGAAAGAUAUUGUUUCCCUGAUUUUUUUCUCAGUCUAUUUGUUAUUUUUAUAUAUGAAGACUACUGAUUUUUGUAAGUUGGCCUUGUAUCGAUCCAGCCACUUUGCUAAAGGUGUUUAUUAGCUGUAGGAGUUCUCAGGCAAAAUUUUGAGGUUACUUAUGUAUACUCUCAUAUCAUCUACAAAUAAAGAUACUUUAUCUUCUUUUCCAGUGUG
rnacentral:lncRNA from 1 species